AUUGUCAGACAAAUCAAUGCAGUCAAAUUGAUCCUGCAAAGGAACAGUACAUUAUUCCAUAAUGCUCAACUCUUUGCAAAUGAAAUCAACAGAUUAGAAGCAUUGCAAAGCUACAACAACUAUUAAAGACUUGAAAAGCCCAAAAAAUAAAAGAAAAAAUCAAUGGGGGAAGUUUAAUGAACUCACCUCAGUAGCAUCCACGUUCUCUAUAACAACAAUCUUACUGCCUAUACACACUAGAAUAUACAUCAAAUAAAACAACAUGCAAAGAAACUACAGUAAGACAUCUACCUGCCUCUCCCAAUUAGAGUAAUCCCUUCACAAAAUUUUCACCCAAAAUAAGAGUAUGUACAAAUUUUAGGGUUUUGGUAAUUUAGGCGUAUGAGAGAGUAAUGGUAGGAGGAGGAUGAUACUAAAUAGGAAGAUGAUACCUUGAAAGCCGAUGAUACCUUGUUCAGCGAAGCCAGAGUUCGGCGUCUGCAUUUGGCGUUUGAGAGAGAAUAUUGAUGCUAGAGAUGGAGUGUUUGGCAAAGUGAAAAGAGCAUGAAAAGUUCCGUGUAUUGACUUUUUUUUUUGUUUCUUUUCCUCUCUGCACAGCCACAUCAGCCGGUCACUAAUAAUGUCCCCAAACCCCUGUCGCCCCAGAAUUAUUGAUCACUUAAUCAUCUCUCUCUCUCAAAUCUUUGCUCCAAGAAAGAUUUUAUAAAUAUGAAGAUCAGAGUUUGCUCAGUGGUGGAGGUGAUAAGACCUUUUGAGGGUGUGGUCAGAAAUUUAUAAUAAAAUCCGAACAAGGAUCGAAUUGAUGAUCUUUUUACAUAAGAAUAUUAGAUUAUUUAAAAAAAUGUUUUAAAAUCAUUACAAACAUCUUAAGAUUAUUCCAGAGGAAUUUAAUUUGGAUUGACACAUAAAUAAACUCGAGAAUAUGC
rnacentral:lncRNA from 1 species